rnacentral:tRNA from 1 species
GGUUCAAUGGUCUAGUGGUUAUGAUUUCUGUCUCACAUUGGGAUACAAGCCGCUCAUACGGUCACAGAAGGUCUCCAGUUCGAUCCUGGAUUGAACCA